AACGAACGCUGGCGGCAUGCCUAACACAUGCAAGUCGAACGAGACCUUCGGGUCUAGUGGCGCACGGGUGCGUAACGCGUGGGAACCUGCCCUUAGGUUCGGAAUAACUCCCCGAAAGGGGUGCUAAUACCGGAUAAUGUCUUCGGACCAAAGAUUUAUGGCCUUUGGCUGGGCGCUCGUUGGAUUAGCUAGUUGGUAGGGUAAAAGCCUACCAAGGCGACGAUGCAUAGCUGGUCGGAGAGGAUGAUAAGCCACACUGGGAAUGAGACACGGCCCAGACUCCUACGGGAGGCAGCAGUGGGGAAUAUUGGACAAUGGGCGAAAGCCUGAUCCAGCAAUGCCGCGUGAGUGAUGAAGGCCUUAGGGUUGUAAAGCUCUUUUACCCGGGAUGAUAAUGACAGUACCGGGAGAAUAAGCUCCGGCUAACUCCGUG
rnacentral:rRNA from 1 species